rnacentral:rRNA from 1 species
GAUGAACGCUGGCGGCGUGCUUAACACAUGCAAGUCGAACGGAAAGGCCCAAGCUUGCUUGGGUACUCGAGUGGCGAACGGGUGAGUAACACGUGGGUGAUCUGCCCUGCACUUCGGGAUAAGCCUGGGAAACUGGGUCUAAUACCGGAUAGGACGAUGGUUUGGAUUCCAUUGUGGAAAGUUUUUUCGGUGUUGGAUGAGCUCGCGGCCUAUCAGCUUGUUGGUGGGGUACUGGCCUACCAAGGCGUCGACGGGUAGCCGGCCUGAGAGGGUGUACGGCCACAUUGGGACUGAGAUACGGCCCAGACUCCUACGGGAGGCAGCAGUGGGGAAUAUUGCACAAUGGGCGCAAGCCUGAUGCAGCGACGCCGCGUGGGGGAUGACGGCCUUCGGGUUGUAAACUCCUUUCGCUAGGGACGAAGCGUUUUUGUGACGGUACCUGGAGAAGAAGCACCGGCUAACUACGU